rnacentral:rRNA from 1 species
CCUACGGGAGGCAGCAGUGGGGAAUAUUGCACAAUGGGGGGAACCCUGAUGCAGCGACGCCGCGUGAGCGAAGAAGGUUUUCGAAUCGUAAAGCUCUGUCCUAUGAGAAGAUAAUGACGGUAUCAUAGGAGGAAGCCCCGGCUAAAUACGUGCCAGCAGCCGCGGUAAUACGUAUGGGGCGAGCGUUGUCCGGAAUUAUUGGGCGUAAAGGGUACGUAGGCGGUUUUUUAAGUCAGGUGUGAAAGCGUGAGGCUUAACCUCAUUAAGCACUUGAAACUGGAAGACUUGAGUGAAGGAGAGGAAAGUGGAAUUCCUAGUGUAGCGGUGAAAUGCGUAGAUAUUAGGAGGAAUACCGGUGGCGAAGGCGACUUUCUGGACUUUUACUGACGCUCAGGUACGAAAGCGUGGGGAGCAAACAGGAUUA